rnacentral:tRNA from 1 species
GUUGUGGCUCAGUGGUAGAAUGCUUGCCUAGCAUGUGUGAGGCACUGGGUUCAAUUCUCAGCAUCACA